rnacentral:rRNA from 1 species
UGGGGAAUAUUGCGCAAUGGGGGGAACCCUGACGCAGCCAUGCCGCGUGAAUGAAGAAGGCCUUCGGGUUGUAAAGUUCUUUCGGUAUUGAGGAAGGUUGAUGUGUUAAUAGCACAUCAAAUUGACGUUAAAUACAGAAGAAGCACCGGCUAACUCCGUGCCAGCAGCCGCGGUAAUACGGAGGGUGCGAGCGUUAAUCGGAAUAACUGGGCGUAAAGGGCACGCAGGCGGUUAUUUAAGUGAGGUGUGAAAGCCCUGGGCUUAACCUAGGAAUUGCAUUUCAGACUGGGUAACUAGAGUACUUUAGGGAGGGGUAGAAUUCCACGUGUAGCGGUGAAAUGCGUAGAGAUGUGGAGGAAUACCGAAGGCGAAGGCAGCCCCUUGGGAAUGUACUGACGCUCAUGUGCGAAAGCGUGGGGAGCAAACAGGAUUAGAUACCCUGGUAGUCCACGCUGUAAACGCUGUCGAUUUGGGGGUUGGGGUUUAACUCUGGCGCCCGUAGCUAACGUGAUAAAUCGACCGCCUGGGGAGUACGGCCGCGAGGUUA